UACAGAGGGUGCGAGCGUUAUUCGGAAUUACUGGGCGUAAAGCGCGCGUAGGCGGCUUUGCAAGUCGGGUGUGAAAUCUCGGGGCUUAACUCCGAAACUGCAUUCGAUACUGCCGUGCUUGAGGACUGGAGAGGAGACUGGAAUUUACGGUGUAGCGGUGAAAUGCGUAGAUAUCGUAAGGAAGACCAGUGGCGAAGGCGGGUCUCUGGACAGUUCCUGACGCUGAGGCACGAAGGCCAGGGGAGCAAACGGG
rnacentral:rRNA from 1 species